rnacentral:tRNA from 1 species
GGCUUCGUGGCAGAGUGGUAAGGACACUUGCCUCUUACCCUGGAGUCCCGGGUUCGAUCUCUGGUCGAGGACCU